GCUGCCAGAUCGCUUCUGGUGCCGACACCGGCAGUUGAAUAAUUUUGCUACAUUGUUAAAAUUAAUAAUUUACAAUUUUAUUAUUAUUUUUUUAAAUUUCGCCAAUCCUGAAGUUUUGUUCCUCGUGUCCGCCUGGUGGUAAAAUAUUGCCUCGUGGAGGGAAAAGUUAUUCUGUUCUUCACAAGCUAAUGUAGAUGUCGGUUGGACGCGACACUUCCUUGACGAGGUUAGCCGGCUAACUUUAGCUCUGUUGCAGAUUUUACUUUGGACAAAUAGUCAGCGGGUGUGUUAACACCUCAACAUCCUAAACGAGGCGUAAACAAUAUAAGCUGGCGGCUCUUCAUCACAUACUGCCCAACAUCCUGCUCAGGGGUGCCACACAUUCUGUCAUCGUAGCGCUCUCCUUCUGCACAACAGCUGUGAUAGGUCAGCCCGGCACUUCACAAUCAGUCAAAACCAAUGGUAAAGCCAAUAAAGAGGUCUCAAAGCCACUUAUUCUGGAGAAUCGGUGCGCUGCCUUCCAGUACCGGGGCAACCAAAAUUCAGCGGAAAGUCUGCACCACCGAGCAUCAAAGCUUGCAAUGCCUGCAUCCUCGCCGGUCAGCAGCAAGGCUCGGGUGUACACGGGUGUCAACACGUGGAAGAACAGAGAUUAUUGGGAUUAUGACACGCAUGUGGCAAACUGGAGCAAUCAAGACAACUACCAAUUGCUGCGCAAAUUAGGUAGAGGGAAGUACAGUGAAGUUUUUGAAGCCAUUAAUGUGACCAGCAGUGAAAAAGUAGUAGUAAAAAUCCUCAAGCCUGUCAAGUGGAAGAAGAUCAAACGGGAAAUUAAGAUACUUGAAAAUCUGCGUGGGGGAACCAACAUCAUCCGCCUGAUUGACACAGUUAAAGACCCAGUGUCCAGAACACCAGCACUCGUCUUUGAAUGCAUCAACAAUACACAUUUUAAGGAGCUUUACCACAAGCUGACGGACUAUGAUAUUCGUUACUAUGUGUAUGAGCUUCUCAAGGCUCUGGACUACUGUCACAGUAUGGGCAUCAUGCACAGAGAUGUAAAGCCUCACAAUGUGAUGAUCGACCACCAGCUGAGAAAGUUGCGUCUUAUAGAUUGGGGUUUGGCAGAAUUUUACCAUCCUGCUCAGGAAUACAACGUCAGGGUGGCCUCCCGCUAUUUCAAAAGCCCAGAGCUGCUUGUGGAUUACAAGAUGUAUGACUAUAGUUUGGAUAUGUGGAGUCUUGGGUGUAUGUUGGCCAGCAUGAUCUUUCUGAAGGAGCCAUUUUUUCAUGGCCAGGACAACUAUGAUCAGUUGGUUCGCAUUGCUAAGGUUCUUGGCACUGACGAGCUUUUCAGCUACCUGCACAAGUACCACAUAGAACUGAACACUCACUUCAAAGAUCUGCUGGGACGCUGUGCUCAUCACAAAGUUGUUCCCUGACAGUACCAGGACCUCAUCUCUAUACACAGACGCCUCUUCUCCGAAGAUAAGUCAUAUAGAGUAGGGUGCUCGGUACGACCUAGACAUGCUGGUCAAAGGCUACCACCACAAUGUACACUGCUUCUCGCUCUCGUACAGUGCAGACGCUUUCCUGCUCGCUAUGCUUGCUACGCCUCUGUUUGCAUUUUUUCCUGCUGAUAAGCUUGUUUUUAUUCUUCCAAGGAAAUUGGAAGAAGCGACUCCUGGAUAUUUUUAAACUUUUGUGACUUUACUUUUUUUGAAGAUGCGGUCAGUUGUUGCCAUAUUCCAAUAUUUGUUUUUGAUACCCCCUUACGCGUGAGUGUGGCCUGCUAAUUAGCGCAGGCCUGCUAUUGGCAAUGAGACCAGCAACAAGAUGCCUCUCUAUUCCACUGAGGACUACCAUGGACUGAUAGAGAAACUGGAAACGAAACUCCACCGUCUUGAAGUGUAUGCGGAUGUAAAUGGACAGUCGAGGAAUGAAACCACUCUACGGAUGUCUUAAAAUGGUGAGCAGAAGUGUGCUUACAGACAGCGACUUAGCGCAACAAAGAGGACGGAUGUGGACUGUGGAAACCCUAAUGGAUCAUCCAGCUGUUCUCCCUGGAAUUUACUGGGCGCAAAGCCAAAGAUAUAGGACAACAUCUAAAAGGGAGGACACAACACCAGCAGAUUACCGAGGAAUCCGGCUGCCCUGCGUUGCGUGCUUCUUCAACCACGAGCAAACACAGAAGCAUUGGGAGCAGUUCGUCCAGACAGAGAACCAACACCUCGUGAGCCCUGAGGCUCUGGACCUGCUGGA